rnacentral:rRNA from 1 species
GCUGCAUUAUUUGACGUUAGCGACAGAAGAAGCACCGGCUAACUCCGUGCCAGCAGCCGCGGUAAUACGGAGGGUGCGAGCGUUAAUCGGAAUUACUGGGCGUAAAGCGCAUGCAGGUGGUUUGUUAAGUCAGAUGUGAAAGCCCGGGGCUCAACCUCGGAAUUGCAUUUGAAACUGGCAGACUAGAGUACUGUAGAGGGGGGUAGAAUUUCAGGUGUAGCGGUGAAAUGCGUAGAGAUCUGAAGGAAUACCGGUGGCGAAGGCGGCCCCCUGGACAGAUACUGACACUCAGAUGCGAAAGCGUGGGGAGCAAACAG